GCCUGUUUACCAUAGUGGCUAAUGCGUUGCAUUUGUAUCCUCUCACGACAUGCAAACAUCAGGUUCGAUCCCUAUAACAGGCA